GAUGAACGCUAGCGGCAGGCUUAAUACAUGCAAGUCGAGGGGCAGCACGAAUAGCAAUAUUUGGUGGCGACCGGCAAACGGGUGCGGAACACGUACGCAACCUUCCUUUAAGUGGAGAAUAGCCCGGGGAAACCCGGAUUAAUACUCCGUAACAUUAUAAAGUGGCAUCACUUAGUAAUUAUAGAUUUAUCGCUUAAAGAUGGGCGUGCGCCUGAUUAGGUAGUUGGCGGAGUAANAGCCCACCAAGCCUGCGAUCAGUAACUGGUGUGAGAGCACGACCAGUCACACGGGCACUGAGACACGGGCCUGACUCCUACGGGAGCAGCAGUAAGGAAUAUUGGUCAAUGGACGCAAGUCUGAACCAGCCAUGCCGCGUGGAGGA
rnacentral:rRNA from 1 species